CCUGGCUCAGGACGAACGCUGGCGGCGUGCAGAAGAAAAGAAAAUCGAACGAACCGCGACUGAGUGCUUGCACUUGGUCAAGGUGAGUGGCGAACGGGUGAGUAACACGUGGGUAACCUACCUCAUAGUGGGGGAUAACAGUCGGAAACGACUGCUAAUACCGCAUAGGACAUAGGAUCACAUGAUCCAGUGAGGAAAGGUGGCGCAAGCUAUCGCUAAGAGAUGGACCCGCGGUGCAUUAGCUAGUUGGUAGGGUAACGGCCUACCAAGGCGAUGAUGCAUAGCCGACCUGAGAGGGUGAUCGGCCACAUUGGGACUGAGACACGGCCCAAACUCCUACGG
rnacentral:rRNA from 1 species